AACGAACGCUGGCGGCAUGCCUAACACAUGCAAGUCGAACGAGACCUUCGGGUCUGGUGGCGCUCGGGUGCGUCACGCGUCGGAACCUUCCCUUAUGUUCGGAAUAACUCCCCGAAAGGGGUGCUAAUACCGGAUAAUGUCUUCGGACCCAAGAUUUAUCGCCUUUGGAUGGGCCCGCGUUGGAUUAGCUUGUUGGUAGGGUAAAAGCCUAUCAAGGCUACGAUCCAUAGCUGGUCUGAGAGGCUGAUCAGCCACACUGGGACUGAGACACGGCCCAGACUCCUACGGGAGGCAGGAGUGGGGAAUAUUGGACAAUGGGCGAAAGCCUGAUCCAGCAAUGCCGCGUGAGUGAUGAAGGCCUUAGGGAUGUAAAGCUCUUUUACCCGGGAUGAUAAUGACAGUACCGGGAGAAUAAGCUCCGGCUAACUCCGUG
rnacentral:rRNA from 1 species